UGCCCAAGUUAGUGAAGAUGUUUUACUUCAAAAUGUAGACCCCAGAGAACAAAAUGAGAUACAAAACCUUUUUGGAACAUGUGUUUAAUGACAUACUUUAAUGGAACUUUUAGCUGCUGUGGAGAGGUUUUUGGCAUGAGUUGUAUAGCUUCUUUUAGCAAAUUUCCUAAAAAUCAGAUGCAUUUUACACUUGGCUGCAUAGUAAACCCUAAAAGGGUUCCUGGAAUGGAUUGAAGUCUAAGAAGCCCAAAACAAAUAAGACAUUCAUCUGCAUGUUCUCAGAGCAACAUCCCCAGCUGAACUGGGCUCUGUGGGGACUCAGCAUGGCAUCUCCCUACAGGCAUUUUCCCCUUUAAUUUGUCAGGGUUCCCCUAGGGUUAGCUUGCAUCAUAUUCUACCUUGAAGUCCAAAAUCAAUUUCUAUAAGCAGUACCCAGAUGGGGAAACUGAGAUCAGGUCUCUGUUACCAGAUGGAUGUCAUAUUCUCUCUCUCUCUCUCUCUCUCUCUCUCUCACACACACACACACACACACACUUUUAAUGAAUGAGAAAAUGCAUUCACAUCACAUUUUAAUAGGAUUGUUCUCAGGAAUGAUGGAGGCCAUAUUUAUGAAAGGAUUCCAGCAUGGUUCUUGGCACAUAGUAAACCCUCAGAUAUACCUGUAUAUGUGCGUGCGUGUGUGUGUGUGUGUGUGUGUGUAUUUUAAAUGCUCAUCUUAUACCAAGAACAAGUGACAAUAAACAUUUCAAGACAAGCGGCUGUAUUUCAAAUACUGACAGACCAGGGAGAAUUUUAUGUUAGUCACUCAGACCUAGCAGCUAGUAGGAGAUUGUGUUCCGGAAGAGCGGUCACGGCUAGAAUGGAGUAUGUAGGACAGCAAUGCCAAGCAGGUGAACCUGAGAUGCUUCCAGGGGCAGGAGAUGUUGGUGGCCUGUGGCCUGAGCAGGAUGUGUCUUCCCUGAAUGACAGGCCUAUGAUCCCAUUAACAUAGAAGCAGAAAAUAAAAAAUUAAGACACUU
rnacentral:lncRNA from 10 species